rnacentral:rRNA from 1 species
UACGUAGGGCGCAAGCGUUGUCCGGAAUUAUUGGGCGUAAAGAGCUCGUAGGCGGUUUGUCGCGUCUGCUGUGAAAACCGGAGGCUCAACCUCCGGCCUGCAGUGGGUACGGGCAAACUAGAGUUCGGUAGGGGAGACUGGAAUUCCUGGUGUAGCGGUGAAAUGCGCAGAUAUCAGGAGGAACACCGAUGGCGAAGGCAGUUCUCUGGGCCGUAACUGACGCUGAGGAGCGAAAGCGUGGGGAGCGAACAGG